rnacentral:tRNA from 1 species
AGCUGGUCGUGGACGGAGUCCCAACUGCCCUGGACGUAGUCGAUCCGGAUGUCGGGGUGGGCGGCGUUCCAUUCGUCGACCAGCUGCC